GGUACUCUGAAAAGGUUCAUUUGAAAACCUUCUUCAUGAUCCUCAAAACAACGGUGCUCUAUGGCCAAGAAUCCUCUCCUUUGUAUCAGUAUGUUGAUGGUGCUCUUUUUCUGUUUUGAGGAAGAGAGAGCUUUAUUUCAUAUGAUACUAAAAGUCUUGAAAUCAUCUCAUACAAAAGACUGACACUAUUUAUUUGUACAGGAGCCUGGUGUAAGUAGGAACUGACCAAAACAUUGAUUGUUGAAUAAAGAGCUACCUCAUGUGUGACACGAAUUAACUCUCUCUUCACCUUGGUGACCUUUAUGUCUGAGCGGUAAAUCAACAACUCUUUAAUUUCAUUGAGUAAACCACAAAGUUCAGAUUUGUCUCUUCCUUUGGUGUUCACAGCCUGGACAUCGACUGCAUAAUCACUCUCAAAAUUAAAUGGACCAUGGCACCAGGAGCAGUAAGGUCGAUGCCCUCUUUGAGAGCAUUCAUGCAAUUCACAAAGGUGCAGCCAGCUGAGAAGAUACGCUGCAGUCAAUUUCUUGCCACUACACCGAGGCUGGCUUCCCCAGUUGCUGCAGAAAACACUUCAGGUUAGCCGUUCCUAACACCCCUUGGUUGUGUAGAGUCAGUUAGGGUCAUAGAGAGGCCAACAGGAGAUCUUCUAAGCUUUGUGGAGGUGGCCAACAUAGGGGGCAUCAUUGAGCAGUCUAGCGGCCACAACCAAUGCUCAAAAGCUCCAUCCAAGAAUGCUCAACAUCCUCCAACAGAAUAACAAGUCCACAACUCCAACAACGAGUGAAGAAGAAGAUCAAUACAGUGAUGGUCCUUCGACGAUGAAGCAGACUCCACACCUCAAUUUCUUUAGCAAAGGCCUACAACUCAUCAUACUUUCCUCCGUCAAUGAGGACAAUGACGCCAAGCACUCAUGCCUCAAAGACCAAACAACAGCAGCACUACCAGUCAUACCAUCCUACUAUGCUAUUUCCUCCAGGCAUGUAUUGCCAAAAACAUGUUGUGCUCUAGGUGAAGUAGGACCUGAUGUCUUUUACAUAUACCAUAUGUAAGACGAUGUGAUUAACUAUGUAGUCAGAUCUAAUUAUGCAUUAGUGAAUGCCCUACUUAUCCAAGGGAUCCCA